rnacentral:rRNA from 1 species
CAAAUUUGAAAUCUGGCUCUUUCAGAGUCCGAGUUGUAAUUUGAAGAAGGUAUCUUUGGGUCUGGCUCUUGUCUAUGUUUCUUGGAACAGAACGUCACAGAGGGUGAGAAUCCCGUGCGAUGAGAUGAUCCAGGCCUAUGUAAAGUUCCUUCGAAGAGUCGAGUUGUUUGGGAAUGCAGCUCUAAGUGGGUGGUAAAUUCCAUCUAAAGCUAAAUAUUGGCGAGAGACCGAUAGCGAACAAGUACAGUGAUGGAAAGAUGAAAAGAACUUUGAAAAGAGAGUGAAAAAGUACGUGAAAUUGUUGAAAGGGAAGGGCUUGAGAUCAGACUUGGUAUUUUGUAUGUUACUUCUUCGGGGGUGGCCUCUACAGUUUAUCGGGCCAGCAUCAGUUUGGGCGGUAGGAGAAUUGCGUUGGAAUGUGGCACGGCUUCGGUUGUGUGUUAUAGCCUUCGUCGAUACUGCCAGCCUAGACUGAGGACUGCGGUUUAUACCUAGGAUGUUGGCAUAAUGAUCUUAAGUCGCC